rnacentral:rRNA from 1 species
AGGGAAUCUUCCACAAUGGACGCAAGUCUGAUGGAGCAACGCCGCGUGAGUGAAGAAGGUUUUCGGACCUUAAAGCUCUGUUGUUGGUGAAGAAGGAUAGAGGUAGUAACUGGCCUUUAUUUGACGGUAAUCAACCAGAAAGUCACGGCUAACUACGUGCCAGCAGCCGCGGUAAUACGUAGGUGGCAAGCGUUGUCCGGAUUUAUUGGGCGUAAAGCGAGCGCAGGCGGAAGAAUAAGUCUGAUGUGAAAGCCCUCGGCUUAACCGAGGAAUUGCAUCGGAAACUGUUUUCUUGAGUG